rnacentral:ncRNA from 1 species
UAUAAGGGGGUGCUUGGGCGAUUGCCCUUGCUGAGAAUAUACCCAACAACCUGAUCCGGGUAAUGCCGGCGUAGGUAGG